AUGCAGAUCUUCGUCAAGACUCUCACUGGCAAGACCAUCACCCUUGAGGUUGAAAGCUCUGACACCAUUGAUAAUGUCAAAGCCAAAAUCCACGACAAGGAAGGCAUCCCCCCGGACCAACAAAGGCUGAUUUUUGCUGGUAAGCAGCUUGAGGAUGGACACACCCUUGUUGACUACAAUAUUCAAAAGGAAUCGACUCUUCACCUGGUUCUCAGACUCCGCGGUGGUAUGCAAAUCUUUGUGAAGACUCUCAUUGCGAAAACCAUAACCUUGGAGGUUGAGAGUUUUGACACCAUUGACAACGUGAAGGCAAAGAUCCAAGAUAAAGAAGGUAUCCCACCAGACCAGCAGAGACUUAUCUUUGCUGGGAAGCAGCUUGAGGAUGGCCGUGCCUUGGCUGACUACAAUAUCUAAAAGGAAUCUACUCUUCACCUGGUGCUCAGGCUCCGUGGUGGCAUGCAAAUCUUUGUUAAGACCCUCACCGGUAAGACAAUCACUUUGGAGGUUGAGAGUUCCGAUACAAUUGAUAAUGUCAAGGCAAAGAUUCAGGACAAGGAGGGCAUUCCUCCAGACCAGCAGAGGCUCAUUUUUGCAGGGAAACAGCUAGAGGAUGGUCACACUCUUGCAGAUUACAACAUCCAGAAGGAAUCAACUCUUCACUUGGUGUUGCGUCUUUGUGGUGGCAUGCAAAUCUUUGUCAAGACCCUUACUGGCAAAACCAUCAUUGUGGAAGUCGAAAGCUCUGACACCAUUGAUAAUGUGAAAGCUAAAAUUCAAGACAAGGAGGGUAUUCCCCCAGACCAACAAAGGUUGAUUUUUGCAGGCAAGCAGCUUGAGGAUGGAAGGACACUUGCUGACUAUAAUAUUCAAAAGGAGUCCACUCUGCAAUUAGUGCUUCGUCUGCGCGGUGGUAUGCAAAUCAUUGUCAAAACGUUGACAAGAAAGACCAUAACAUUGGAGGUAGAGAGUUCAGAUACAAUUGACAAUGUGAAAGCUAAGAUUCAGGACAAGGAGCAUCCCUCUGGACCAGCAAAGGCUCAUAUUCGCUGGAAAGCAGCUUGAGGAUGGGAGGACUCUUAUAAAUUACAACAUUCAGAAGGAGUUCACCCUUCACCUUGUCCUUCGCCUCUGUGGUGGUUUUUGAAUUGUCAUCCUUGUCUGAUCAUAAGUAAAAUUUGGUCCUUUAAUU